rnacentral:rRNA from 1 species
GGAGUCUGGACCGUUUCUCAGUUCCAAUGUGGCCGUUCAACCUCUCAGUUCGGCUAAUGAUCGUAGAUUUGGUAGGCCGUUACCCUGCCAACUGUCUAAUCAUACGCGAGCCCAUCAUACAGCAAUUGCUCUUUGACAUCAGAAACAUGCGAUCCCAAUGUGUCAUGCGGUAUUAGCACAAGUUUCCCUGUGUUAUCCCCCACUGUAUGGCAGGUUGCUCACGCGUUACUCACCCGUCCGCCACUCGAAAUGAACAAAAGCAAGCUUUCGUCCAUUCCUCGUUCGACUUGCAUGUGUUAAGCACGCCGCCAGCGUUCGUCCUCGAGCCACUGAUCAAACUACU